CUACCUCAAUCUGUUGCGGACAAAUAAAAUGUAUGUGGGUGUCUAUUCCACCAGCAGUGAGAAUCAUACCUUCCCCAGCUAGAGCUUCAGUUCCAGGUCCAAUAAUGAUGUCUAUGUUGUCUUGAAUGUAGGGAUUUCCAGCUUUACCAAUCUUAUGAAUUUUCCCAUCUUUAAUACCAACGUCUGCUUUAACCACACCCCACCAAUCCAAAAUUAGGGCGUUAGUAAUAACUAAAUCUACAGCACCAUCCCUAUUGGCAAUUGGGGAUUGUCCCAUACCAUCCCGAAU
rnacentral:sRNA from 1 species